UGCAUGGUGGCACAAUGGCUAGCACUGCUGCCUUGUAACAAGGAGGUUCUGGGUUCAAGCCCUAGUCAACUAG